rnacentral:tRNA from 1 species
UUUACUUUGGCAGAGAGAAUGCGUUAAAUUUAGAAUUUAGUUAUAUAGGGUGGUCUAUAAGUAAAA